UACGUAGGCAGCGAGCGUUGUUCGGAGUUACUGGGCGUAAAGGGUGCGUAGGCGGCCGAUUAAGUUUGUCGUGAAAUCUCCCGGCUCAACUGGGAGGGUGCGGCGAAUACUGACCGGCUCGAGUGUGGGAGAGGAGAGUGGAAUUCCUGGUGUAGCGGUGAAAUGCGUAGAUAUCAGGAGGAACACCGGCGGUGUAGACGGCUCUCUGGACCAUAACUGACGCUGAGGCACGAAAGCGUGGGUAGCAAACAGG
rnacentral:rRNA from 1 species